CUACGGGAGGCUGCAGUGGGGAAUAUUGGACAAUGGGGGAAACCCUGAUCCAGCAAUGCCGCGUGUGUGAAGAAGGCCUGCGGGUUGUAAAGCACUUUCGGUUGGGAGGACUGCUUCUAGCACUAAUAUUGUUGGAAGUUGACGUUACCUUCAGAAGAAGCACCGGCUAACUCCGUGCCAGCAGCCGCGGUAAUACGGAGGGUGCAGGCGUUAAUCGGAAUUACUGGGCGUAAAGCGCGCGUAGGCGGCUAGAUCAGUCGGGUGUGAAAGCCCCGGGCUUAACCUGGGAACUGCAUCCGAUACUGUCAAGCUUGAGUACAGGAGAGGAGAGUGGAAUUCCACAUGUAGCGGUGAAAUGCGUAGAUAUGUGGAGGAACACCAAUGGCGAAGGCAGCUCUCUGGCCUGAUACUGACGCUGAGGUGCGAAAGCGUGGGGAGCAAACAGGAUUAGAUACCCGAGUAGUC
rnacentral:rRNA from 1 species